rnacentral:misc_RNA from 1 species
UUUCAUGGCCCAGCCUGAGACUGCACA